AGAUUAUCAUUGUGUACAGUUCGGUCCAGUAAUAAUAGUAAAGAUGAAUAGCAGAAGUAAAAAAAUAAUGGCCUUAAUAAAUGACAAUAAAACAUAUACCGAAGCAGUAAAAAUGAUAUACAGACUGACAAUAAUUCCCCUAUAUUCCUCUUAGAGGUUUAUGAUAUUUAUAAUGCCAACAUUGCAGAAGCUUUUAGCAAUGACAUUAUCAUCUUUGAGGAACCACCAGACGUUGCAGUAGAAGAAGAAAUAUUUAGUCACGAUCUCACAUCAUGUUUCAACUUAGCAGCAGAUAAUGGUUUGGGUGCCGGUAUAAGUAGUGAUCAAAAUAAGGAAAAUACAAGCAAUCAAAUCAAUAAUGAUGUUGAACCAAAUAUUGACUGUGAUUAUGAAUUAUAAUCCGCUAUUAUUAGAUAUCCGCUCCUAUUUGCGAAUUAUUUACUUUUAAGUAUUUCAUCCUAGCAUCAAAAACAUGUUUAAAGAAUUUAGGGUAUUGUUUUUAACUUAGAAUGUAUUUUUGGUUUAAAAAAAUAAAGCCUAUCAAAAAUC